UCGAGUGGCAAACGGGUGAGUAACGCGUAAGCAACCUGCCCUUCAGAUGGGGACAACAGUUGGAAACGACUGCUAAUACCGCAUAAGCCCACGGCUCGGCAUCGAGCAGGGGGAAAAGGAGCAAUCCGCUUUGAGAUGGCCUCGCGUCCGAUUAGCUAGUUGGUGAGGUAAUGGCCCACCAAGGCGACGAUCGGUAGCCGGACUGAGAGGUUGAACGGCCACAUUGGGACUGAGACACGGCCCAGACUCC
rnacentral:rRNA from 1 species